UUCUUCCCAAAGAGUCCCUGAGCCGGAGUGGGGUGAGACAGCAGCUUCGUCUUGUCUCUUCCUUGUGCUGUCCAUGCAGCACCUCACAUUCAAUAAGCAUGUUCUAUAAGCCAGACAAUGUUCUGCCUUUAUUACUUAUUGGCUAUUCUUGUGUGAUGAGAAGACUGAGGACCAGGAGGACCAGGAACUUAACCUAACAGGUGGGAGAGACACAUAUGAAUCAACAGUUCAUGGACAGAGGAAAUGAGAGGUGGAGCCAGAACCCUCCUGGCCACUAUUCAUUGACAGGAGUGAGAGCUGUCACCUUAGGUCUGUUCUUGAAUCCAUCUGAGACGGGGUAGGCAAAGGAGUGAGAUGAAGCAGCUGUUGGGCAGACCCUAGGGCCUGCAAGCCUCUGAAGCUGGCCCCAGAGCUGCCACUUGGGGCCUCGGGAGACCCCAUACUUCCUCUCAGAGCAGCAUCUCCGUGGACAGAGCAGGCUGGCCCCGCAGCUGCAACAGGGAGCCUGCAAAACACCUUCAAACAAGUCAGAAGAGAGGACUAGGAACCCAGUAACCCGUGGCUGCUGGCAGCUACAGAUGGCUCUCGACGAGUGGCCUAAAAGCAGAAAGAAGGACUAAGGGGUACACUGUCUUGGUGGGGCUCCACAGAAAACAGAAGAUGUAUCCUGCAUGGAGUCACUUCCUGGCCAAUGCACCAAAUGUAAGACUCCAGGGAGCCUUAGCUUACUGGGGACCCCCUGAGUGAACCACAUGGAGCAAGAAUUGAUGCAAAAAGCAAGAGAAAUUUAUUGUUCCAGUGCAUUGAGAUCGUCCCAGAUCCGAAGGAGAGGCAGUGACCACCAGCACCCAGUUGGCGAGUUUUUAUAUUGUUUUUCAGGGGCAGAAUAGAGCAUCAGCAACUAGGCACAGUACGAUUGGUAGAACAGUGCACCCUUCAAACUGAUUGGUCUUUAAGGAAUGAGGUAACAAGGAUUUCCCUUGUCUGAAGGUGAGCAACAGUCAGUCCUGCUGAAUGUGUCCCACCCACAGGUGGGUUCCCACCCUGUGGUCUGAGAAAUGUUAAUUAGCCUUUCCCUUCCAGAGAGGCAAGUGUUUCAUGAUCUUCCCAAAGUUCCUAAGCUGACCUUUUCAAUUACAAGAGUAAUCAUCUUAUGAGAGUGCUAAUGGCAGCCAUCCCACCAUACAAAGCAAAGACAGACUUAUCUGGAUAUAUUUGUCUUUGAAGAAAUUGGACCCUCAUACAAUCAGUUUGGCUAUGGCUGCUAACUUGCAAGGGACUACAGUAGAAGCAAUGUUUUCACAGCACUAAGGUUAUAAGGAAUGUUUUAACUGUAAGUCAUCUUAAGAAAGACUGUCCAAAAAUUAGAGGCAUAGACAGAUGGUCAAAUUGUUCCCCUGUAAUUUGUCCUCACUGCAGAAGGAAUAAUCUUUGGGAUAGGACUCAGGCAGUAUGCUCACUUUAAGAAAUAUUUAUGGGGCUGGAGAGAUGGCUCAGUGGUUAAGAAAUACUUACAUUUGAGUUAAUGCAAAGCUCAGAGCUGCCUCAGUGAGGCUUGUGUGGCAUUUCUUUUGUUUUGCAAACCCUGCCUAGGAAAGUUUUUGGGACCUCAUCUCUCCUUGCCUCCGGGGAAUUAUUUUUUAAGCCAAAACAACAUUAUUACAGAUCUAUCCAGGUGUUGUUCAAAAUAAAGUUUAAACUUAAGAUUUAUGAAAGGCCGAACAGUGGUGGUGCAUGCUUUUAAUCCUAGCACUUGGGAGGCAGAGACAGGCAGAUUUCUGAGUUCGAAGCCAGCCUGGUCUACAGAGUGAGUUCCAGGACAGCCAGGCCUACACAGAGAAACCCUGUCUCGAAAAACAACAACAGCAACAAAAAGAUUUAUGAAAGGACUAUGGGGCUGUGGAACUUCUAAAGGCAUUACAAGCUGGCUUGCCUAUUCCGUAUAGAAUUGUUAUAGAUUUGGAAGGUUGUUUUUUGUUUUGCAUCCUGAUAAUUGUAAAGAGUUUGCUUCUAGUGAGCUUGUGAUCAUUAGAAAGUCUUGCCUCUAGAUAUGGCUAAUAGCCUUACAUUGUGUAAGACAUUUUUUUUGUCUCUGCUUCAAUACAAGAAGCUAGGGCUUUGAAUCUUUCAGUGUAUAUUGUUUCUUAUAUGGAAAGUAUUUUAUUAGCUAAUGCCUCUGAAGGGAAGUUUACUUCAAAUCUUUGCUCUUAUACAAUGAGCUUUAAAGUUUUGGGGAGUAGCUGUUGCUCCAGAAAAGAUUCAGAGGCAAUAUAUCCUUUUUAAUCUUUAGGGUCUCAGUUAUAUCCUAGAAAAAUUAUGGUACAGAAAACUUAAGAAGAAAAAGAUGAUUUGCUUACUUCAAAUUAUUUUCAAAAGCUUCCAGGAAAUGUUAAUUGGCUAAGACCUCACCUUAAGCUCACCACAGGAUGACUUAAGCCUUUGUUGGAUGUUAUCAAGAGUGAUGCAAAUUAACUGGUGAAAAACAAAAGGCUCUGCAGAAAGUAGAGGAAGCUUCUGUAAUCAAUUGUUAUCAAUUGUAAUCGAUGGUAAUCAGAUAUUAGCUGCCUAUUCUAGUUAUUGUUUCACAAUGUGCCCACAGCAAUUCUUUGGCAAAAGAGAGCAUUAAUGUGGAAUCAUCUUUCCUCAUCUCAAAGUAAAGUUCAUCCUAGUAUAAUGUAGAAUAAUGCUGUUGUGCUGUUAAUAAAGAACUGUAAGAUAAAAUCAUGAAGGUAUUUAAAAAAAAGAGUCUUAAAAACC
rnacentral:lncRNA from 1 species